ACUCUCUCAUGCUGCAGUUCCCUCCCAGACUUAACAAGACUCCAGGAAGGCUGACCUCCAGAAGUUGUGUUGUGAGCCUGCCCCAGUCUCCCAGCAGUGUUUGAAUCUGGGGAACUCAGCAGUCAGCUGAAAGACUUCUUCGUGCAUCCCUCCACAGGGCACCAGGGCAUAUGGGUCUUUCAAAGUGGAAACCAAAGACUCCAGAUGAGACAUUGAAAAUUAAUACCACAAACUUUGCUCUCCUGUAGCCCCAGAGUGAGUGGGCGAAGAUAAGGCCCUGUGUGAUGCCAUGUGGAGAGAAGGCCAGUGGAGCAGAAUGGACAGCCUUGUAAAAUUACCAAGUUCAAGAAGAUGUUGCACACAGCAAGAAAAUAAAAUGAAAAAAUGCUUCAAUACCAUGG
rnacentral:lncRNA from 1 species